GUUCAAUGUUUUUGAUGAGUGAUAAGCUCUGUUGUGGAGAUUCCCACCGCAGUUUUACAAGCACUCAAAUUGCCAGAAAUGUGCUUUCAAGGAUUUGAAUACAAAGAAAGGCUUCUUCUGAUAGAUUUCCUCGUCUGCUUGUAUUUCCGAGGCAACCACAACAAAUGGAAGAAUUCUCAUUUCUUUCCAACUUGGUGCAUUUGUCCCUGGAUAUCCUGUCCAUCCAGUGAUUGUUCGCUAUCCCCAUGUGCACUUUGACCAAUCCUGGGGCAAUAUAGCUUUGGGAAAGCUCAUGUUUAGAAUGUUCAUAGUUUCACAAUUUCGUGGAGGACAACAUAUCUCUAGUCUGGUCUUGGAUUGUUGCUGAGUCUUGAUUGGUUACUAUAACUGUACAAACAUCUCAUUCCUAUGGGGACAUCAUGCAGCUUGCAAAAGCUUCCGAGUCCAAACAAGUCACUUUUCGUGCUCCAUGUGUUUUGGCUUUAUAGUUUAUCUUGCUUUUAGGUCGGCAAAAAUGAUCUUGUACUUCAUUCAAACAUUCUAUGAAGUGCUAGAUUUUAGCUCUUAAACUUAAUUUGAUGGCCUUUUUUUGCGAUGGACCAAGAAUAUUUGAUGCAGCUGCAACGAUGGAAUUUACAUUGUCUCCAUGGGAUCUCAUAAUGUAUUAGGUGUAGGCCUUGAAACACACCAUUUAACGCUUAUAAUUCCUCUCUUCCAAAAUAAAUGAGUUGAAUUAACAUUUUUAUUAAUGACUAUUGAUUAAUCUAUGUCUUACUAAAUGGAGGAAGGAUCAUAGAUUAAUUUGAAAAAAUAGAGGUGAAAAAUGCAGCAGAGAAGUCUUGAAAAAACUAAUGUGCCAGUCUUGUAUUCCUUUAGUUCUAGCAAAGAGAUUUUUUCAUCUCAACUGGAGUCUUGAAAUAGAUCUUUAAAAUGUAAAUGCAGUAUUAUUUCUAUCUAUAUUAAUUGGUUUCUUUUCUAUGGUUUUAGUAAACAAUGAAUUGUUAACUAAUGGAACACGCAAAAAUAAAAUACCUUGGAAAUGAAAUUUAAGGUCGUAAUUUUGUGGGAAGAAGAGUAUACAUUAUGUUGAUGUUUGGUGCAUUAUGUCUGAGUCAUAGCACUUGACAUGUACACCUUGAAUCUAUAGUGAAGGUGUAGAUAAGCCAAAUCAAGUAAUAUAUCUGACUGUCCAAAUUCUUAAGCAUAGUUCUAGCUGCUUAAUCUUGGCUGGUGAGGAGUAGAUUGUUUUCAAACUUGGCAUGCUGUAUGGUUUCAGACUUUUCUCAGGUGUGCUCUUUCUAAUUUAUAUCAGGUAGUCGCUCUUACAAUUGAAUCCAAGCGUGCCGAGAACACACCAUGGUUAGAUUGAUUACUGAAGUAAAGAAGAAUACACAGAUGAAAAUAAAGUUGUCUGUGACCAUGCAACUUGUGUUUGUAGUUUAAGUUUAUUAUUAGAGUUAGGACACCUCGUAGGUAGAGCUCUCAUAAAAAUUAAUAAAUAAAAUUUCAAACUUUUCUUAGGUGUGCUCUUUCUAAUUUAUAUCAGGUAGUCGCUCUUACAAUUGAAUCCAAGCGUGCCGAGAACACACCAUGGUUAGAUUGAUUACUGAAGUAAAGAAAAAUACACAGAUUAAAAUAAAGUUGUCUGUGACCAUGCAACUUGUGUUUGUAGUUUAAGUUUAUUAUUAGAGUUAGGACACCUCUUAGGUAGAGCUCUCAUAAAAAUUAAUAAAUAAAAUUUGAGAUAGUGGAAUUUUUUUUUAAUACUAUUUGUAUACCCCAACCCCUAGUAACCUUUGAUGAGAUCUCUCCAUAUCCCACAGACCCCCCACCCCUACCCCUACCCCCCUUCUUCUUCUACUUGAAAAAAAUACUCAAGGCCAAGAUGAUAGC